ensembl:lncRNA
GAUUUGCUGCUUGGAAGCCAUUCCGUGCCACCCUCAGACAAAUGCCUUGUAGAAGCCAGCAGGAUGCUCCUCUACUUACGGGCUGCAGCGGGACUUGGCUUUGGCACUGAAGAAAAGGGAUUUGUAGGGGAAGCUUCUGGUAGCAGCAUGUACACAAGGGAAGUUGGGCACAGCAGCAGUUUUCUUUCAAAUUCUCCUUGCUUCUGAAAGGCCACCCAUGGGAGGCAGCCAUCUCUGGUGCAGCUAUUGUUUGCGGUGGAUGCGUGCCACUGUUUGCGGCUGGGGUGGAGCGGAGGGAGCGCCGGGCCUCGCACACAGAAGAUGAAGACUGCCCUCUGCCUUUCUGUCUUUGGAGGCCACAUGUAGCACAAAUGAGGCAAAAAACAGAGGCUGGUAAGGCUGCCCUACACCAGGCUCAGGCAGCACCCAGCUCCCUCCUACAGCCAGAGCCUCAGCAGGAGCUUUCCUGAAGGAGCCGGAGGGCACUGGGGCAGAUCACCCAAGAUUGCUGACUGAGGCACCACAUCCUCCUGUUUAAGAGCCACAGGCAACACAGCAGUGAAUUAGGAGAAGAAAGGGACCAUUUGGAACAGUUCGGUUUCUUCAUUUUCCCCUUGGUUUUCUUUUGGGGCCAAGUCUAGUGCAGGAAAAAGAUGCAUGCCUAGAAGAGAAGCAAGAGUUUGUGUGCACUGCAACAGCUACAUUCACAUAUUUAGACAAGAAACAUCUAAAUAUUUUCUAAAAAGCGCAGGCCAAAAUGUGCUGAAAAAAAGAUAUGGAAGAUGCACCCCGGUGAGGAAAUACCUCUGCCAGAGCACCACUGCAAUCCGAGGAGCUCUUCAAAGGAGCCGGCAUUAAAUCUAAAUCCUUAAUUAUAUGCUCGGCUGUGGAUGUCAUCAGAAGGUGUGUGACCACACUGGGUAUACUGCAAUUGCUUUUAUUGCAGAGAGGUUUGCUGGAAAAGAAAGUCUUGGUCCUGGCAUGUUACAGAGCCAAGUCCCAAAACACAUCUCCAGACUAGAGAAGACAGUGGAACGUUCGAUGGUAACAGAGUCAAAAUUGCACUUGGCCAGUUGCUGAGAAGAGACACAAGCAACAGUUUCUAGGAGGAAGUGGAGGCUCAGGUUUUCAAUGUCACCAUAAUCGGAGGUGUAGGCUUCAGCUAAUUUCUAUGCUAAGCCUGGGCCUCACCCACAGUGAGACAGUUGGAGCCACUCGAUUUUCAUUCCCUGACCCAGUCAACCAGGUCUGGUUAUUUAAGGUUUGGUCAGCUGCUCUGAAUUUUUCUUGAGCACAAUUCUAACUCAGCACCGCUCAGUACAAUUGAGUUCUUCAUAGAUGGAUCCAAAAAGCUCCAAAGACAAACAGAAAUCCUGACUUGACCCUGAUGAUCUCUGCUUUGUGAUAGACUACCUGCUUACCCAAAAUCACAGUGGUGGGAAACCAGCAGCAGCACUGGUGCUGACUAUCAAGAGCAAUCAGGCUGAACACGGAGAAAAUCAGAAAUGAAAAAGGGCACAAGAAUAUGAGAAACACAGCUUUGUUGACAUUUCUUUUCUGUUUUAAUUCCCGUCGAAGGCCUUGUAACAUCUUUUCAGUGCUCCCAAAACAACACAAACAACUUUGGUAGCUUCAGCUCCUAUCUAUUUCCCUUACUUCUUCACCCCACCCCUCCUGAUUUUCCUUCUUUCCUCAAAUAACCACGUACUUAACCCAGACAACGGAACUAAAAAGUCAAACUUCCUCCAAACCAGGAGUAACACCUACUCUCAUCUUGCAAAGUUUUAUACAUCCCUUUGUUUUGUCUUGCAAAGGAAUGAGCAUCACACAAUAGAACCUGAAAUUAUAUACUUCAUAGGCUAACUUUGUUUGCUGUUAUUAUUUAUACGCAAUUCCAACAACUUAUUAACUUUCAAUCACUGUAACCAUUUAGAGGAGUCAAGAAGGAAAAGCAAUGGUUCAAUACUUCAAGAAUAAGGAACAAAUUUGAUGGAUAAAUGUGCGUAUCACUUUAAUGUAGCCAGUCCUAUAUAUACACAUAAUUUUGUGUGAUUUAUAUCCCUAAUUAGAUUCCCAUGGCAACAUUCUUCAGCUAACAAUGUGUAUCAUAAUCACCUUUUCUUCAUACAAAUGAUUUCCUUAACUUUGCAUGCAUAACUUAGCAGCUUUUAUUUUUAAAACUCCUGUUAACAGUUUCUCUCUUGUUACCAGUAGGGGUGCUAUGAUAAGAAACUAAUUUGCUGUAAAAAUUACUCAUUUGUCAAAUAAGCAUUAAAAUAAUUGUUCCCCUUUUGACUGUU